UACGAAGGGUGCAAGCGUUAAUCGGAAUUACUGGGCGUAAAGCGCACUCAGGUGGAUUUAUAAGUCAGGUGUGAAAUCCCGGGGCUCAACCUGGGAAUUGCGUUUGAAACUGACUAUCUUGAGUGCGGGAGAGGGGAGUGGAAUUUCCAGUGUAGAGGUGAAAUGCGUAGAUAUCGGGAGGAACACCAGUGGCGAAGGCGGCUCACGGGCCCGGUACUGACUCUGAUGUGCGAAAGCGUGGGGAUCAAACAGG
rnacentral:rRNA from 1 species